rnacentral:rRNA from 1 species
AUGACGUCCGCCGCUGCGUCCAGCUCCACCGCCACCGGUUUUCUGCCGGCCUCCCUCGCGGCACUUCUCUCGAGGCCGCUGGAUGCCGCCUCUCUUCAGGCGCCGAUCGGGACACGGAGCGUCGGCUCCCUCUUCGCGCUCCCGCCGGCUGCUACUUCGCCCGGGCAGGCGCUUGUGGCCCACACCGCCGCCGCCCCGUCAACCGCGGCUGUCGCGCCCUCGGCCACUGCGCCGCUGGUGGCGGAGGACGUCGCGUUGGCAGGCUUCGCGGCAUCAACCGCGGCCAUCGCGCCCUCUGUCACCGCGCCGGCUGCCCCUCUGACUGUCUCCACGGUGGUCUCACCUCAGCCAGUCUCCUCGAUGGGAUCGCAGCCGCCGCCGCCGUUUCACUUCGGCCAUCUCAUCACCAUCAAGGUGUCGUCGGACAAUUACAUCUUCUGGCGCGCGCAGGUUCUUCCGCUUCUUGGGAGUCACUAUCUGCUUGGCUAUGUCGACGGCUCUCUCCCUUGCCCUCCUGCGCUGGUUGACAGCGUGCACGGUCCGGUCUAUAAUCCGGCUCACCGUGUCUGGACAGGGCAGGAUCAGGCGAACCUCUCCUCCAUCCAGGGGUCGCUCUCUCCGGCCGUUGCUAGGCUUGUUGUCUUCGCCAAGACGUCCCACGAGGCAUGGACUAUUCUUGAGCGCUCGUUUGCGGCACAGUCGCAGGCUCGUGUAUCUGGGCUCCGUCGCCAACUUGGGGAGUGUCAGAAGCUUGACUCCACCGCCACUGAGUUCUACAACAAAGUCAAGAGUCUCGCCGACACGCUGGCCUCCAUUGGACAGCCCCUCACCGACUCCGAGUUCAACUCGUUUAUUGUCAAUGGUCUUGAUGAGGAGUAUGACGCCCUAGUCGAGAUCAUCAAUGAGAGGGGCAACUCCACGCCCAUGCUAGCACACGAGGUCUUUUCACGCCUCCUGCUUACUGAGCAACGAGUCGAGACGCGCCGAUCCAGGGGCAACGGCGCCCUCUCGGCAAACGCCGCCACCAAGGGUGGUCGCUCCUCUGCUUCAUCCAGGGCUCCUUCGGGGCCGUCACCACCACCCGCCUCGGCCCCUCCUCCUACUGCGACGCUAUCAGGGGCUGGCGGUCCACGUGUGUGCCAGCUUUGUGGUCGCGAUGGGCACUGGGCCUCGAAGUGUCACAAGCGCUUCCAGCGGGGUUUUCUUGGUCUCGGCAAUGACGGGAAGGAUACACGCAACUUUGCUCGUCAGGUCGCCAUGGCUGAUCGUCCGCCGCCGCAGAAGCCACAGGGACACACUCAGUCCUACUCCAUUGAUCCCCACUGGUACAUGGACUCUGGGGCGACAGAGCACCUGACCAGUGAGAUGGGGAAGCUUCACACUCGUGAACCCUACCAUGGCUCCGACAAGAUCCACACCGCCAAUGGAGCAGGAUCGGGGCACGAGGGACAUUCUUCUUAG